AUUGAACGCUGGCGGCAUGCCUUACACAUGCAAGUCGAACGGUAACGGGUCCUUCGGGAUGCCGACGAGUGGCGAACGGGUGAGUAAUAUAUCGGAACGUGCCCAGUAGUGGGGGAUAACUGCUCGAAAGAGCAGCUAAUACCGCAUACGACCUGAGGGUGAAAGGGGGGGAUCGCAAGACCUCUCGCUAUUGGAGCGGCCGAUAUCAGAUUAGCUAGGUGGUGGGGUAAAGGCCUACCAAGGCAACGAUCUGUAGUUGGUCUGAGAGGACGACCAGCCACACUGGGACUGAGACACGGCCCAGACUCCUACGGGAGGCAGCAGUGGGGAAUUUUGGACAAUGGGCGCAAGCCUGAUCCAGCAAGGCCGCGUGCAGGAAGAAGGCCUUCGGGUUGUAAACUGCUUUUGUCAGGGAAGAAAUCUUCUGGGCUAAUACCCCGGGAGGAUGACGGUACCUGAAGAAUAAGCACCGGCUAACUACGUGCCAGCAGCCGCCGUAA
rnacentral:rRNA from 1 species